rnacentral:misc_RNA from 1 species
AAGUUUACUUUUUCCUAGAAAGGGCAACAUUUCUGCUGAUCAUGAUUUUUUUUCAGGCAAUAAAAAAGAUGGGGUUGGUGAUAAAAAACAAAUGCAACUCAAUAAGGAAGGAAGUAAUAAAUGGGCCAAUAUGCUCUAUAAAAUUACUGGUAAGUCCCAAGCUGAUGUUGAUUAUACAGAUUCAGCUGAUGGGCAACCCAGUGAACAGGUGGAUGAAGAUUUGCAAGA